AUUAAAGAAAGACAAAUGUAAUAAUAUAUGUGUAUACAAAUGUAAAAUAGAUAUUGAAUAUUAAAUAGAUAUUUUAUUAUAGCUAUUAUUAAGUUAUUAUAAUAUAUAUAUAUAUAUAUAUAUAUAUAUAAAUAAAGGAAAAGGAAAAAAAAAGAAAAAGAAUAGAAAAAGAAAGAAAGGAUGAAACGAAACAGAGAGCAGGGGAAAGAAAGAAUGAAGGAAAAAGAAAGAAGGAAAAAGGGAAAAAUUGGGAUUUCAAGGCUUGAAAGUUAAAUAGGUUAAGUUAAGGCUAGACUGUUGAAUCAGCAUCCCAGGCCGAUCCCGAAUUCAAUGAGGUAAAGUAUGUUGAGUAUUGAUAAUGGCAUGUACCUAGGAUCUUUAAUGAGAGUCAUUUAGGUUGUAAAAGUAUUGAUGAAAUAAGUAAAUUAUGGUUGUCAACGGUAUAUAGUAUGAAUUUUGAAAUUUAUUAAAAAUUCGUAGUGAUUCUAAAUUAGUUUCAAAUUGAA